CGGGCUAACAUCAGAUGAUAUAUAGUCACGACAUCGUGGAAAUAUCAAAUCUUCGGAGCCUUGGGAUGAGCCUGCGUCUGAUUAGGUAGUUGGCGGAGUAAUAGCCCACCAAGCCUACGAUCAGUAGCUGGUCUGAGAGGAUGAUCAGCCACACUGGAACCGAGACACGGUCCAGACUCCUACGGGAGGCAGCAGUAAGGAAUAUUGCUCAAUGGGGGGAAACCCUGAAGCAGCAACGCCGCGUGAAGGAUGAAAUACUUUUGUAUGUAAACUUCUGUAAGAUGGGAAAAAUAUUCUCCUCGGGAGAAUUGAUUGUACCAUCAGAGUAAGCCCCGGCUAACUACGUG
rnacentral:rRNA from 1 species